rnacentral:rRNA from 1 species
CCGGCGACCGGCGCACGGGUGAGUAACACGUAUGCAACCUGCCCUCUUCAGGGGGACAACCUUCCGAAAGGGAGGCUAAUCCCGCGUAUAUCGGUUUCGGGCAUCCGAGAUCGAGGAAAGAUUCAUCGGAAGAGGAUGGGCAUGCGGCGCAUUAGCUAGACGGCGGGGUAACGGCCCACCGUGGCGACGAUGCGUAGGGGUUCUGAGAGGAAGGUCCCCCACACAGGUACUGAGACACGGACCAGACUCCUACGGGAGGCAGCAG